UUACACCCAGACGGUCACUGUGUAUGGAGUCCACGCGCUCUAGCUUCAUGCAGGAUUAGGGACUUGCUGAAAAAAAACCAAACCCUUGACAGGAAACGUUUCAACCAGCAUGACAACACCUGACUCUUUCAGGUCCUGAAAACACAUUCAAACCUGUGUCUCUCAGCGGUCUGUCUCCUGGAGCAGCAGUCAGUCUGUACAGACGGAGCAGAGAGAGAGAGAGAGAGAGAGAGAGAGAGAGAGAGACCGGCCAGGAGAAGGGCGCCCACUUCCUGCUGUUAAAAGAAGGUUACCAGACCCUGAACGUCUCCUGCACAGCAUGAUGGGUCUCUGUGUGUGUGUGUGUGUGUGUCAGACAGAGUGCAUUUUGUGUGUAUUUCUGUUUCUCUUUAAUCCCUUCCCAGCAUGCAGCAGUGAGUGGCAGCUGGUGAUUUUGAGCAACAACUGCUCCGACCUGAGGAAGCCGACUGUGCAGCGGCUACAGAGCCCCCCUCCUCCCCCAUUUUUAUGAGAACCCUAGAUCUGAGUCACAACUUUACAGUGGCUCAAUAUUGUGUCAUCCAUCACUCUGCAUACAGCUACAGGCGGCUCCAGCCUCAGUGGACGGGAAACAAGAUUUACAAGUGAAGAUGACGUUCUGUCUGUGGGCUGGGGGAGGCGGGGGAGGCAGUUAGAGAGGCCGUCAGACAGAAAUGAAAAGUGGAGUGUGGCCGAUGGAGAAAGACGUUCAGAAAAAGCCAAAGAUUUGGUGAUUUGUUGAUUAUCCCCCCAGAACUCAAAUCCAGACGCGAGCCGCGUUAGGUAGCCUCUUCUCCUACAGCCCCUGAAUGCAGCACUCGGCGCACCUGCCGCCUCCUAUUAGCUAAUCAGAACCAAACAAAGUUUGUUUACACCAAACGAGGUCUGAAGAUCGUCUGUUAAACGUCGUUUGGAAGAGUUCGCCAUGAUAUCGAUCGUAAUGAUUGACAGCAGAUAUCAACGCGUUGUGGAUUAGUGAACGGGAAGAUCGACGUUACUGAUCCGAGAUCGUUUUGUCUACGAACGAAUUGAAAUAGGACGCUGUAUUCGGAUCCGAUUCGUGAUCCGUCAUAUUGUUUAUGCGCGUAAAACAACAGGGAAAAGAAGCGUCAGGAUUAAAGCUGUAUCGCAAAUAAGGACCUUUAAAAAUACAUUUGAAAACAACAACAACUCUAUGGAGAAGACAACUAUGGGACCGAAGAGGCUGUCUGCAGUACCCCUGAUGUCCACGAAGUACCGCUGAUGUCCACGGAGUACCGCUGAUGUCCACGGAGUACCCCUGAUGUCCACAGUGUACCCCUGAGGACGCCUGGAGUUGACAAUGAAGAACGUCAAGAAAAGACAACUUCUAAAGGUAAGAACUUUUAUUACGUUAUUGGCGAAUUGAGUUGUCUGAGCCCGGUCUGCCGUGACUGUGGGGCCAGAGCAGUUGUGUGAGUGUCACGGUCAGUGCACUGAAAUGUUGACGUAGGUGAAGUGGUCUACGUCAUGUGUUGUGUGAUGGCAAUGUUGUGUUUUCUGUCAGGUACAUUACUAAAUAUCGGUUCUUCUUCCUGCUCGGUGCACUGGUUUAGAGUGAUUUCAUUCGUUGUGUAAUUGUCUCUUCUAUGUAUGAUCAAAAAUAUCAAUCAAAUCAAUCAAAAAUAACAACAAAUUGAAGAAAAAUGUAAAAUUUUAUGUAAAGAUUUUUUUCUUUUUUCCUAAAUUUUAGGCAUAAAAAUCACUAAAUUACAUAUUUUUAGUCAAACUAUUGCGUUGCAAU